rnacentral:rRNA from 1 species
GAUGAACGCUGGCGGCGUGCCUAAUACAUGCAAGUCGAGCGAACGGACGAGAAGCUUGCUUCUCUGAUGUUAGCGGCGGACGGGUGAGUAACACGUGGAUAACCUACCUAUAAGACUGGGAUAACUUCGGGAAACCGGAGCUAAUACCGGAUAAUAUUUUGAACCGCAUGGUUCAAAAGUGAAAGACGGUCUUGCUGUCACUUAUAGAUGGAUCCGCGUUGCAUUAGCUAGUUGGUAAGGUAACGGCUUACCAAGGCGACGAUGCAUAGCCGACCUGAUAGGAGGAGCGGCCACACGUGAGAGGGGACGAUCACCAAAACUCGAAGGGAGGCACGAGGCGGACAUCUACGGGAAGGGGCAGAAGCCAAAAGGGGAAAAGCGGCGGGAGUGUGAAAGAGCUGCGCCUCGUAAAUCAUUGAGGUUAGAGAAGAAAAAAUUUGUAUUAACCGGUAUAAGAAUGGACGGACCGUAAGAAAAAACCCCCGCUAACCCCGUU